UACGUAGGGGGCAAGCGUUGUCCGGAAUCAUUGGGCGUAAAGCGCGCGUAGGCGGCCCGAUCAGUCCGCUGUAAAAGUCCAGGGCUCAACCCUGGAAAGCCGGUGGAUACGGGCAGACUAGAGGUAGGUAGGGGAGAAUGGAAUUCCCGGUGUAGCGGUGAAAUGCGCAGAUAUCGGGAGGAACACCGGUGGCGAAGGCGGUUCUCUGGGCCUUACCUGACGCUGAGGAGCGAAAGCAUGGGGAGCGAACGGG
rnacentral:rRNA from 1 species